rnacentral:lncRNA from 1 species
UGUAUAGCACUUUUAUUCAAUUUGUCUCAGAAUUGUAUAUCAAAGAACUCACUAUUUCAAAAUUCAGGGCUGCGUUUGCUCAAUUAAGAUGUUUUUCACACCGGCUUCAGAUUGAAACUGGCAGAUAUGCUAAUGAAACUAAAGUUGAUAGAUUAUGUCUUGUAUGCAAAGAACGAUAUAUUGAAGAUGAAUACCAUUUUUUAUUAAUAUGUAAUGUAUACAAAGAUCUAAGGUCUUUACUUUUGCCAAA